GUGAGGAAUAUUGGUCAAUGGGCGAGAGCCUGAACCAGCCAAGUCGCGUGAAGGAAGAAGGAUCUAUGGUUCGUAAACUUCUUUUGCAGGGGAAUAAAGUGCAGGACGUGUCCUGUUUUGUAUGUACCCUGAGAAUAAGGAUCGGCUAACUCCGUGCCAGCAGCCGCGGUAAUACGGAGGAUCCGAGCGUUAUCCGGAUUUAUUGGGUUUAAAGGGUGCGUAGGUGGGUUGAUAAGUCAGCGGUGAAAGUUUGCAGCUUAACUGUAAAAAUGCCGUUGAAACUGUCGGACUUGAGUGUAAAUGAGGUAGGCGGAAUGCGUGGUGUAGCGGUGAAAUGCAUAGAUAUCACGCAGAACUCCGAUUGCGAAGGCAGCUUACUAAGCUACAACUGACACUGAAGCACGAAAGCGUGGGGAUCAAACAGGAUUAGAAACCCUAGUAGUCC
rnacentral:rRNA from 1 species